GAUUUCUGGUUUGAUACAUUUUGCCGGCCACGGUUUCGUGUGUUAGUGCUUGAUGUUCUGACCAUCCUUCCAAUCGCUAUUUACUUUUCUUCAUUGAAUAGUAAGUGGUAUUGGAUCUUUUACUUUGAAAAAAUUAGAGUGUUUCAAGCAGGCUUUAUGCUAUGAAUACAUUAGCAUGGAAUAAUAAUUUAGGACUUCGGUUCUAUUUUGUUGGUUUCUAGGACUGAAGUAAUGAUUGAUAGGGAUAGUUGGGGGUGCUAGUAUUCAGCGGCCAGAGGUGAAAUUCUCGGAUUCGCUGAAGACUAACUUAUGCGAAAGCAUU
rnacentral:rRNA from 1 species